UGCUUACUUUGGAUGGAGAUGGAUGUGU
rnacentral:piRNA from 1 species